AACCUCUUAAUCAACCAGCUGGUUACUGAGGCCAGGUGCUGUGGAUUUACAAGAGAAACAGUAACGUAUUUGUGCGGAGGCUCUGCAGUUUGCCUCUCCCAAAUCCACUCUCAGCCCUUCUCGACACUCUUCUCAGCUCAGGGAGCCCCUCGGGACUCCUGAGCCCUCUGGCUUCCCCUUGGGCUCAGCCCAUGGAAGCCCCUGGCAGGAGGGACGGGGAAGGAUGCAGGACUUGUAUCUUUCCUGGAGUGACCCAGCAAAGCCAAAUGGCUCCGAAUCCUCAGGAAGCCCCCACUGGGUUUAAAGAAGGACUUCUAGCUGCUCUGCACUGCCUUUAUUGUUGGUUAUGGACCACCUCCGAGGUACUACUCAAGGUCUCCACAGUUUCUUCUAAACUCCAAAGUUGAUUGAAUUUCUUCGACUUCAUCACUGUCGUGCAGAAACUUCAAGACGCCCAAUACUCCCUGUCGAACAGCUCCUGAGAGAAUAAGAAGAACAAGCGCUGAGAUCUUUCAGGGAGAUUUACAGCAUUAAUAACCCCAGGCUAUUUUAAGUUGCAGUCAAUCUUUAUGGAAGAAGCACAGAGAUUAUACAGCAAUUCUUUUAUUUUUUUUUCUUCCUAGAAUUGCAAACUGAUAU
rnacentral:lncRNA from 1 species